CCCAGACCUGAAUCUUGAAGAACACGUUAAACGUUAUAAGUCUGGUUAUGCUUAGAUUAUUCUAAAUUUUCCCUCUUUUACUUCUAUUCGUUAAAAAAUCUAGACCGUUCCCGCGAAAAGCUCCAGAGUAAAAUUUGCUGAAAAGAAUGUUAUGGUCAACUAUAUCGAAUGAUUUGGGCACAUCAACAAAAAGAUCAAAAAGAUGCCGAAGUAGCCCCGGACAGCACGGGGCAGCAAAAAUUGACGUCGAUGACACGUCUCGCAGGGGAAGAACGUCUCAAAUCACUUUGAAAGGAAAACGGUUGCCAAACCAGUCGUGAAUUGGCGAAAAACUGAGUUGCGAUCGUAAAACGUUUCUCAAUCCCCUUCAUUCAAAGGGAGUUACCGAAAAAUUGAAAGCCCCCACGAGCUCAACGAAAAAAACAAAUAAAAUCGUCUUCAAAUUGCUUCUCAGCAUCUCGCCCGCCAUCGAGCAACACCGAAUCGUCACGUGUGAUGAGAAAUGGUGCCUAUAAAUCAAUAUAAAGAAAAGAAAGCAGUGGAUGGCUCCAGGAGAUACACCAAAGCUGAGAGUCAAGGCGGAUCUUCAUCCAAAGAAUAUCAUGAUGUGUGUGGCAUGGUGCACAGGAAAAUGCGCGAAAAGAGUCCCAGGAUCUACAAGGAACUCUACAUUGCCCAGCCACACCGCGUGAAUUAGGCUAUUCGACUGAAAAUACCUGGAGUUGAAUCAUCAUAUCAGCGAACAUACCAAAUGUCACUGAAAAGUGCAACUGAACGUAUUCAUUUUAUCGAACUGUCAUUCGAACACCGACAGCCGCCCGUUAAUGAUCGAAUUUAAAAAAGAUGAUGAAUUUCAAUAAACUCAACCCUAUCCAAAAAGAUGUCAUGGCGGAGUAUAUGGCCAACAAAUACUGCAAUUAGAAGCCCUACACGACAACUUAGGGAAAUAAGUACUUGCAAUUUUUAAUUUUAGUUUGAAGUACUCAGUGGAGGCUUAUUGAUUUUAAAAGUUGUUUUUGAUUUUUUUAUUUACUUUUGUAUUCUUUAGUAUUUAAGUAUUUAUGACUGAGGAAACAGUUUUAUGUGGUAAAUGCAACAAGUGACCAUUAAUGAUGCAACAAUUAAUAACCCAAAUGACAAGUAUGAUGAACAUAUUAACAAUGCUCGUUACCAAACUAGAUGAACGAAAGAAAUGAAAUUAAUUUAGCUAUAUGGAAUGCGAAUGGACUUGCUCGCCACGUUCCUAAAUCAUUUUUAAUACAUAAAUCAAUCGAUACAAUGUUGAUCUCUGAGACUCAUGCCACUGACAAAACUUUUGUUAUCAUACCGAACUACCUAUAAUAAAAUUACACAA